CGUGCUUAACACAUGCAAGUCGAACGGUGAAAGCGGAGCUUGCUCCGCUGGAUCAGUGGCGAACGGGUGAGUAACACGUGGGCAACCUGCCCUUCACUUCGGGAUAACUCCGGGAAACCGGGGCUAAUACCGGAUAUGACCUCUGCGGGCAUCCGCGGAGGUGGAAAGUUUUUCGGUGAAGGAUGGGCCCGCGGCCUAUCAGCUUGUUGGUGAGGUAGUGGCUCACCAAGGCGACGACGGGUAGCCGGCCUGAGAGGAUGAUCAGCCACAUUGGGACUGAGACACGGCCCAAACUCCUACGGGAGGCAGCAGUGGGGAAUAUUGGACAAUGGGCGCAAGCCUGAUCCAGCCAUGCCGCGUGAGUGAUGAAGGCCUUAGGGUUGUAAAGCUCUUUCGUCCGGGACGAUAAUGACGGUACCGGAAGAAGAAGCCCCGGCUAACUUCGUGCCAGCCGCCGCCGUAA
rnacentral:rRNA from 1 species